GCUCCCGCCGUCCGGGUCCGCUCGCCCCGCGGCCGCCGAGGCCGUUAGGGCCUCUCCCUCCCCGCCAGCAGCCGGCCCUCCGCGCCGCCACUGGUUGCCAUGGGGACGCGGCCGGAACAAGCCGCCGCCGCGGAGGGAUGAAAUUGUUUUGGAAAGGAUGAGGAGAGCAUCCUGAGUCUAAAGGAGAAGUUCCUGAGUCUAAAGGAGUGGAAGAGUGUGACCAGAGUGCUGGUAUGAGAUGGCAAGAGAGCUCAACCCUGAAAGAGAAUUAGAGGACACAGCAAGAAACUGCCAAUUUAUGCCAUGUGAAAGGCACUGUGGAAGAAGAAGGAUCCAGGAAGAGAAGAGUGCAAAGAAAAUUUCAUCUGAAAUAAGCAAGUGUCCUUGGCGGCUGGCACAGCUAUAUGUGACCUGGCCUCCACUACCAGGCUCGCUCCCGUGAGAGUCUGACUUGGAAGUGGACACCUUGAGGAAGGCGCCCCAUGUGGAAACCAUUUGGCUGGGCAGCCUGUCACAUGCCUUUAACCAUUGCUCCUAGAAGCUUGGCACCCCCAUGAGCUACCCAACUGACUGAGUCCGUCUGUCCUCUGUGAGUAACAACCCUGGGAACUGCAGAAGCAAAUAGAGAAGAAAAGCCCAAGAACUUGGAAUGGUUGCCUUCUGGAGUGGUAAAUCAAGAGUGGGAAGAGGUGGACAAGGAGACUAUUGUUUUUUAUUAUAAGCCUUUGUUUUCCUGUUGGGCUUUCUAACCAUGACUAUUACAAUUUCUAACCAUGUACAUGGGUGAGUUUGAUAAGCGUUAAAAUUGAAACAACAAGAAAGAAAACAGACAAUAAGAACUAUCUUUUGGAGAGUGUAAAUGCGCUACACAAUGUUACCUCUCGCUUGUUAGUCUGUGGGAGACGUUACUUGUUGAUAACAGCUCUAUUUCCCUCCAGGGCCUGGAAACAGACUCACAAACCUUCCUGAUAUCUAUUUCUAGGUAUAAUGAAGCUGGGUCUUUGGAUGAAAACUAUUUGCCACUCUUGGCCUAAGAGGAAAUACUCAAUCUCAGGACUUGCAUUCCUGAACUUAAGUGAAAAUAAGACCAGAAUAUGUUUUAUGGUAUACUAAAUCAGAACGUAUGUCUUGGUAUACCUAAUUCUGACAAAUAACCUUAAUUAAGAGAUGUAUGUCACCACUAUAGAACUCUAUUAUUCCAGUGAAAUUGCUACAGUUGAAAAAAAACCCAUUUAGGUUUCUGACCAUGAACAUGAAGAUAAACUUGGAAACUUUACAGCA